GAACAUAAGAGUUUGAUCCUGGCUCAGAUUGAACGCUGGCGGCAUGCUUUACACAUGCAAGUCGGACGGCAGCACGAGUACUUGUACUUGGUGGCGAGUGGCGAACGGGUGAGUAAUAUAUUGGAAC
rnacentral:rRNA from 1 species